rnacentral:lncRNA from 1 species
AUUUAACUUGUUUAACUUAAUAUGUGAAUUAAAAAGUUUUAUUAAAAGAUAAGAUUAAAGAAGAUAACUCUAGGUACCUGGAGAGGCAGAUGUGAGGUGAUAGAUACAUCACUGAAGAAAUGGAACACUGGAAGGGAGAAAAAUUCUCCUCUGCCCACUUAGAUUCUCUGGGUAUGCAAAAUAAACUCACAGCAGAUGGAUUAAACAACAUACAAGUUUAUUUGAUGUUCAUAGUUUUUAUAUGGCACCAGGAAUAGUAGAAGGAGCUUUAUAGAGACAAUUUAAAAAUCCAGAGAAUGUCUUAAGUUUCAAGGCUUUUAGGCCAUGUGGACAAAAGAAGACAGAAUUGACAAAAGAGAGGGACUUUGAGCUUCUAAGGACAAAGAAAUUGUAGGAAGGCAAGUAUAUGAGAAACUAAUGAUAGGUAAGGACUAAUUAGUAAGGUUGGUUUGUGUAGACUUUUGGUGCCAUCAUAUCUCCAGUGAUAAGAGUGCCAUCCCUUUCCUGGCAUGAUAAGUGUCUGGGGGUGUGGGAUAGAAGUGCAUACCUUCACAAACGGAAUUUAUGAUCGGUUUUCAAGCAGAUAGAAAGAAGGUAGAGAGCUUGUCCCUUGUAUGCUUUCCUCAGUGCCUUCCACUAAAAAUAAUCCUAAUGCCAGGCUGACAUAUUUUGGGGUGGAAUAUUCUGAUCUCCUAGAACAUCAGAGAAAAACUAAUUCGUAUCUCCUUGCAUAAAGACAGCCGCUAACUUCUUAUUAUCCAUAAAUAAAAUUCUAACUCUGGUAUGGUACAAUUAGUUUUUUAUGCUUACCCCACCUACCAAUCUCAUCUGAUCAUCUAGUACGCAUACACUUACAGAAGCUGCUUUCCAGUCACACAAUUUCUCAUUAUCCCAGAACCAUUUUUUUAAAUUUAUUUAUUUAUUUUUAGUUUUCGGUAGACACAACAUCUUUAUUAUUUUUUUAUUUUUAUGUGGUGCUGAGGAUCGAACCCAGCGCCCUGCGCAUGCCAGGCGAGCGCACUACCACUUAAGCCUCAUCCCCAGCCCCAGAACCAUUUUCUUUCAGAUUAAUUCCAUCUAUGUGACCAUGUCCUCCAUCUCUUUUCUUGAGAAAUUUCAGCUUUUGCUCUUCCGUGUUUCAUUUGUGGCCUUAUUUAUAAGCCUUUUUCAUCUCUUCUGAAGGAAGAUCACUUAGUUG